rnacentral:lncRNA from 1 species
UCAGGACUUACUCAUUCUGUUUUUGAACCAGUUUCCCAGGAGAUUCAUGUGCAGUGCAUUUAGGAUCCAAGGGGCUGGAUGACUUUUGCAGUCCAACUUAGAGUGAUCUGGUUCUGACAGAGUCAGAGCUGUCUGAGCAGCGCCCCGUAGGAUGGGGACACCUUUUGCCAGCCCUUUCUUCCCAGGGGCUGGCGUUCUUCAAACCUCCCCAAAUUAUUCACUUUCCUUUCAGAUUCUGUCCUCCUGAGAUGCUAAGCCAUUCUCAGCCUGCUCUGUUGACUGUGAAAUGUCCUGUCGGGUGCUCCACCUCCUGUUUCUAUCUGUCAGAACCCUCUUCACUUGUCAAGUCUCAGCUGAAACACAACCUCCUUUAGGGAGCAUCUGCAGCCUACCCAGUGAGAAUUUCCUGCUCCCUUCCUGGGCUGCCAUGAACUUUGCUCGUACAUCCACUAUAGCCCAGGCUGUCCUGAGUGACAGUGAGUUCUCCAGGUUGGUGCAUCCUAUCUGCUCCACCCCCUCACACCCUCAGCCCCACAGGACUGGGAACUCCUCGAGGCUGGGAAUCAAAUCUUACCAUAGACAUCCUGAGCCUGAUGAUAGAUCACUCUUAACCCUGAAUGCUUAAAGAGAAAACAUAGGAAGCCAGGGCCUGGGUAGGACAAACUGAGUGCUAACAGAAAGAGUCCAGGCCGGGCGCGGUGGCUCACACCUGUAAUGCUGGCAUUUUGGGAGGCUGAGGUGGGUGGUUCACAAGAUCAGGAGUUCAAGACCAGCCUGACCAAGAUGGUGAAACUUCAUCUCUACUAAAAACACAAAAAAUUAGCCAGGCAUGGUGGUGGGCACCUGUAAUCCCAGCUACUUGGGAAGCUGAGGCAGAGAAUUGCUUGAACCCAGGAGGUGGAGGUUGUGGUGAGCCGAGAUUGCACCAUUGCACUCCAGCCUGGGCAACAAGAGCGAAACUCCAUCUCAAAUAAAUAAAUAAAUAAAUAGUCCAAACACAGGUAGCCAGGGCAGGAAGAACUGGUCCAUUCCCUUCCCCUAAGCUGAAUGAAUGAAUGGGCUGAUUCCCCAGAUGAUUUUGAGGGUUUGUAUUCCAGAAAAAAGAAAAACAGAAAACCCCUUCUUUGUCUGGGACAGAGUCUUGUCUAGGCUUUUAGGCUUAAGGCCUUCUGGCUAAUCAUUUCUUAAUCCACUCAGGAAAUCUCCAGGGAUUUCCCGUGAGGCGGUGUUGCAGGGCUGUGGAGUCUGUUCUGCAUUUAGCAGUCAGGAAGGGCCCUGCAGAAGGCCUUAGCCUCCUCUGCCCUAGGCCUCUAGGAUGAGCCGGAAAGUGGGCUCUGGGUGCUGUGGUUCAACCUUGAAUGUGUCCCCAUUUCUGUCUGUGCCUCUAGAACACCCUUGGGCUACAGUGUCUGCAUUUCUCAGAAAGGCUGGGGUGGGGACGGGAAAGGAUUUUUUAGGCUGUGACUGCACCAGCCGGGGCACCUACUGUGUCCCCCCGCUGUGCCAGGCGUUGUGCUGGAGAACUUACCCACUCGCCUGUCUACACGACAACUCUGCAAGGUACAGAUGGUUAUCCCCACCAUAGACAUAAAGAAACCGAGGCUUGCAAUGCUUGCCGGCUGCAGCCCUAGUGUUAGUGUUAGUGACCCUCCCCACCCCGCCCCAAAAAAAGAAACUAAGGCUCAGAGAAAGUAGCUAACUUGGCAGCAUUAUGCAACCAGGAAGUUGCAGAGCAGGAUCAAAGUUAGGUGCGUCUGGCUCCAAAACUUCUGUUCUUUCUACCUGACCUCACCCAGACAGUUGCCAGCAAGGCCUGUUUCUGUCCCAUCCCUCUGGCUGCAGGGUCUCUGAGGUCCCUUUCUUCUCUAACAGGGCAUCGCCUGUGGGGUGUCUUUCCCGGGGACCACCUAGGUACAAUCCACACAGGCAAGGAGAGGACCAGCAGGCACUAAAGCCAGACACACAGCUCUGUCACUAACCCCCAGUGACCAGAGCCCCACUGUCACUAAGCACACAGCAGCAGGAGGCCUUUGCCAGCUGCAAGGCCCGGGGAGGCUGGGAAGGGGAGGGAAUUGGAGGGCCUCAGGGGGUGAGGGGAGGAGAAGCACAGACCCUCCAGAUGUGCCCCAUCUUUC